ensembl:snRNA RNU6-1314P RNA, U6 small nuclear 1314, pseudogene
AUGCUAACUUCGGCAGUACAUAUACUAAAAUUGGAACAAAACAGAGAUUGGCAUGGCCCCUACAUAAGGAUGACAAGCAAAUUCAUGAAGCAUUCCAUAUUUUU